UUGGUUAAUUUGAAGUAUGAGGAUUCUUUCCAAACCUUGAAGUACCUUUUGACUUUUUAUUUGAAAAUGCACAUGCAUGUGCAUUCAUGAAGGGCAGAGAAAUGAGGAACGUUCUCACCUGAGUUAGAACCAAAUAGAGUGCAGGCAGCUGCUGUGAGCUUUCUUAUCACAAUUACGGCCUGACAUGAGUUGGAAAAC
rnacentral:lncRNA from 1 species